AUUGAACGCUGGCGGCAUGCCUAACACAUGCAAGUCGAACGGUAACAGGCCCUUCGGGUGCUGACGAGUGGCGGAUGGGUGAGUAAUACUUAGGAAUCUACCCUGUAGUGGGGGACAACCCGGGGAAACUCGGGCUAAUACCGCAUACGCUCUACGGAGGAAAGCGGGGGACCGCAAGGCCUCGCGCUAUUGGAUGAGCCUAAGCCCGAUUAGCUAGUUGGUGGGGUAAUGGCCUACCAAGGCAAUGAUCGGUAGCUGGUCUGAGAGGACGACCAGCCACACUGGGACUGAGACACGGCCCAGACUCCUACGGGAGGCAGCAGUGGGGAAUAUUGGACAAUGGGCGAAAGCCUGAUCCAGCGAUGCCGCGUGUGUGAAGAAGGCCUGCGGGUUGUAAAGCACUUUCAGUAGGGAAGAAAUGCUUGGAGCUAGCACCGCCAAGUUUUGACGUUACCUACAGAAGAAGCACCGGCUAACUCCGUG
rnacentral:rRNA from 1 species